UUACAAAUAUCAAAUGUCAUACUAUUAAAAAAAAUAAGGCAUAGUUGAUACUUCUCUAUAGCCUAAACGGUGUUUUAAAGGUCUACUCGUUGUGUAAAACUGUGUAGUUGCCGUUUUUACACCGUCGUGUAGCCCUAUUUUUUUAUCGUGUAAACUGUUGGACCGUGUAAUAACUAUUUAGACCCUAAACUGCACGGUAGCUUGUCGAGUAGCGUGUACACGGCGUGUACAUGGGCUACACGGUCGUUUACGGCAACAUUGGGCAAAAUAAAUUCUUUUUGACCCAUUAGUAAUAAACAUAUGGAUCAAACAUUAAAUUAGCAUUUCAUAUACUACGAUAACUAUUUUCAUAGGUGGAUGGUAACCCAUUUGUACAAGCAUACGACAUGUGACUCAAGGCCCGUACAAUUCAACAAUUUUUCAUAGUUGACCGCAUGUGAAAAAUGAUUUCCACAUGAUCCAUGCUUGUGGAAAUCCCAUUUUCAUGGGCUGUUUCUUAAGUGAAUUGUGUAAGGUAAAUUUUCCAGAAUCUAAAGAAGUGCAUUGGAAUCUAUGUCAUGAACAAUAGACGAUCUUGUCAUUACCGUAGCACUUACAUGGCUAUUAUGGAUACCUACAUGCAUGUGUGCGCUCCGUUGUUGCUUUACCACCAUGGCUCCCGUACUACUUAUGCCUGUAAUAGAGGAAGCCUGCCUACAUCUAUCCCCAUCGUCAUGUGCGAGCUUAUAGAUCUGACCAUAAUCAUAGAUGAUGUGGUGGAUGAGCCUAUUACCAUGGACGAGCUCAUUGAUCCACCUGCUGUGCCACUAUGGAUGAGCUUAUAGAUCUCUGUCUGUUGCCAUGGAUGAGGUCACAGAUCUGGCUACCGUCAUGGACGAGCUCAUGGAUCUGGCCUUGGCUGUGGUGGUCAUGGAUCUGCCCACCACCAUCAUUGAUGAGCUCACAGAUCUGGCCAUAUGGCUGUGGAAGAGGGAAAGACAAACUCGUAGAAGGAGUGAUUAAAUGUAUGGUUUCUAAAGGAUGUUGACGGCAUGAGUUUUUGAUGCAUAUUGAGGGUGGCCAUUCGAUCUCAUCCAAGGGCCACUAUAUUGUGCAGUUGGUAUAUGUGGGCUUAAGAUAGACAUAACUUUUGCAUACAAACUUGAAGUUGGUACGGUGCUCUUUUUUGUCACAAAAAAAAUUUUGAUGCUGUUUGAGAAAGGUUAAAUAGCCAAAGGUCAUAUUGGACCGUGUGUGAAACACACAUUGACCAUUCUAAAUAAGGUUUGGGCCCAUUCUGCAAUUUUCUUACAGUUUAAUAAUAACCAUGGUGUUUAAUGACUUUUUUGUUGCAUAUUUUUCCCAUAUUGUUAGGUAAAUUAGCCAAGGCCGAUGGUAAUAACAUGAUAGGGCAAUUAAAUUCUAAUGUUAAAAAAUAUCACAAAUACACCAUCCAAAUUGAACCUUUUUGCAGUAAUCAUUGUUGGUCAAAGAAUAACAAAAUAAUAUAUAUCUUAUUUGACAGGCUUAAGAAAGUUCUCACAUUUAAGUGUCGUUGUUUCCACCUUCUUGGAUUCAUAGACAUUGGGGGCUUCCAAAGGCUCGUGAUUGCACAUACGAAACACAUAGAAGUGGUGGACAUUCUAGAUUGGCCGACAUUUUAAUUAUAGCAUAUUUGUGUAAGCCUUGGUCAAAAUGCAAGCAUUAUUGCAAUAGUGCAUGGUGUUUAUACUAUGUGAGAUUUUGAAUUUCAUUAGCUCUCUUGGUCGCUCACCGUUCAAGAUGGUUCUGCACUGAUUUAACUCCAGCCUUGUUUUAUAAUAGGGUUAUUGGAAGGGUACAAUUGUAACUUUAAGAGUUGGAGAUAUACCACUACAACUUCUAAUAUUGGAGA